rnacentral:tRNA from 1 species
CGGCGAGUGGCGCAGUUUGGUAGCGCUCCUGGUUUGGGACCAGGAAGUCAGAGGUUCAAAUCCUCUCUCGCCGA